GUUCCCCCAUGCUUAAAUGUCUCAUCCUCUUUCGGUCCUGUGCCAGAGUGUUGUCGUUUCUUUUUGUGUUUAUUUGCCACAGCCCUGCCCACAGUUAUUGAGAGUUUUGUUUUGCCUUUUGCCUACUUGGGAGAGUUUUGUUUCUAACUUUUUCAGGACAGAGUGAGGAAUCGUCGAACAAAAAGCUUUAUUUGUUUCAGUGAGCCUCAGACAUGAACUGCAGCACCCAGGGAAUUUUUUUUUUUUUUUUUUUUUAUUUUUGGAUAGAGAAAUAAUAAUACAGAUGUCAUCAGUGUUUGAACCUGACAACUUCUUGGUCCUUCGAGCCGAAUUCCAACACAUCUGACAAUUCCGGCAGGGUGAGUUGAACCAGAGGACCAUGGCAAACAUCUCCUGAUUGAGGAAUUGCUUUUCUUUUCUCCGGCUGGAAUCUGAAGAAUGACGGAAAACCUAGGGCAGGAGGAAGGAACCCAGAGUUCACUGGCCGACUCGCAGCAACUCGGAAUACCCUGCAGCAGCAAGCUACCACAAUGGAUGAGGGGACUGGACCCAGCCGGCCCCAACCAAGACAGGCACCCGGAAAGGAUGGACGGUGGGACCCAGGAGCUCCAGACAUGUAGCCCGGAUGCAGUAGCCUGAAGCGCCGACCCCGAUUGACCAGCAUGCCCAGAGCGUAACCCCAGAAAUAUACGUACACACA